ensembl:snRNA U2 U2 spliceosomal RNA
AUCGCUUCUUGGCCUUUUGGCUAAGAUCAAGUGUAGUACAAUAUAGCCAUCAAAAUCAGGUAAUGGGUAUUGAUAUAUUAGUAUAUUCUAAUCCUCAGACCUCAU